CUGGAGCAGCUGGAGUAGUCAGGGGAGGCUUCCAGGAGGAGGCCCCGAGCGGGGCGCGGCAGGAAGGCCUGGUGCCAGAAGGGACGACCCGCCAGGAAGGGGCGGACGCGGGUUGCCGGCGCAGGAGGAGGCGCGGAAGCUCGGGCCUCGCAGCCCCACGCCCACUCGGUCCAGGACCCGCCCUGAGCCUCCGCCCGUGUGCGUGCUGUUUCCGCGGCCUGGAAUAGUCCUCCUCUCCCCACCCAGCCAGUCCUGUGGGAUCUUAUUUCCCCCUCCUAGGAUAGAACCAAGCAAGGGGAUCCAACCAGUCCACCCUAAAGGAAUCAGUCCUGAACAUUCACUGGAAGGACUGAUGCUGAAGCUGAAACUCCAAUACUCUGGCCGCCUGAUGCGAAGAACCGACUGAUUGGAAAAGACCCUGAUGCUGGGAAAGACUGAGGGCAGGAAGCGAAGGGGACGACAGAGGAUGAGAUGGUUGGAUGGCAUCACCGACUCGAUGGGCAUGAGUUUGAGCAAGCUGCGGGAAUUGGUGAUGGACAGGGAGGCCUGGCAUGCUGCAGUCCAUGGGGUUGCAAAGAGUUGAACCUGUGCCCCUUAGAGUGAAAGCAGGGAGUCUUAACUACUGGACCGCCAGGAAGUCCCCAUAACUGUUCAAUAAAUC
ensembl:lncRNA